ACUCCUACGGGAGGCAGCAGUGGGGAGUAUUGGACAAUGGGGGCAACCCUGAUCCAGCAAUGCCGCGUGAGUGAUGAAGGCCUUAGGGUUGUAAAGCUCUUUCGACGGGGACGAUGAUGACGGUACCCGCAGAAUAAGCCCCGGCUAACUUCGUGCCAGCAGCCGCGGUAAUACGAAGGGGGCGAGCGUUGUUCGGAAUUACUGGGCGUAAAGGGCGCGUAGGCGGCGACCCAAGUCAGAUGUGAAAGUCCUGGGCUUAACCUGGGGACUGCAUUUGAUACUGGGUUGCUUGAAUUCGGGAGAGGAUAGCGGAAUUCCCAGUGUAGAGGUGAAAUUCGUAGAUAUUGGGAAGAACACCGGUGGCGAAGGCGGCUAUCUGGACCGACAUUGACGCUGAGGCGCGAAAGCGUGGGGAGCAAACAGGAUUAGAUACCCUGGUAGUCCACGCCCUAAACGAUGAAUGCUAGACGCUGGUAGGUUUACCUAUCGGUGUCGCAGCUAACGCAUUAAGCAUUCCGCCUGGGGAGUACGGUCGCAAGAUUAAAACUUAAAGGAAUUGACGG
rnacentral:rRNA from 1 species